rnacentral:rRNA from 1 species
CCUACGGGAGGCAGCAGUGGGGGAUAUUGCACAAUGGGGGAAACCCUGAUGCAGCGACGCCGCAUGGGCGAAGAAGUAUUUCGGUUUGUACAGCCCUAUCAGCAGGGAAGAAGAAAUGACGGUACCUGAGUAAGAAGCACCGGCUAAAUACGUGCCAGCAGCCGCGGUAAUACGUAGGGUUCGAGCGUUAUCCGGCUUUACGGGGUGUCACGGGAGCGAAGGCGGCACUGCAAGCCUGAUGUGAAAGCCCGCGGCCCAACCGGGGGACUGCAUUGGGAACUACCAGGCUGGAGGGCCGGAGAGGGAGGUGGAAUUCCUAGUGUAGCGGUGAAAUGCGUAGAUAGUAGGAGGAACACCAGGGGCGAAGGCGGCCUACUGGACGGUGACUGACGCUGAGGCUCGAAAGCGUGGGGAGCAAACAGGAUUAGAUACCCGAGUAGUC